CGUUCCUGAGAGUGGUGUCCAAAUGCUUCUUUAACUCUGGCACUGCCCUGGAGAGCCUGUUCCCAUGGCCAAACACCCUCUGGGGGAGGAUCCUUCUCCUAAUAUCCAACCUAAACCUCUCAGACACAACUUCAGGCCAUUCCCUGGUCAGCACAGAGCAGAGAUCAGCGCCUGCCCCUCCUCUUCCCCUCACGGGGCAGCUGCAGAGCUGCAGUGAGGCCUCCCCUCACUCUCCUCCAUCUCAAUAAACCAAGUGCCCUCAGCUGCUCCUCACGCGGCUUCCCCUCACGGCCCUGCGCCAUCCCCACGGCCUCCUCUGCUCACUUGCUGACACUUUAAUGCCUUUUUUAUGUUGUGAUUCCAGAGCUGCACCCAAUAUUGCAGGGUCAUCCUUCUUGCCCUUCUUGAAAAUUCGGACAUUCACCAGCUUCCAGUCAACUGGGACUUAUCCAGAUUUUUAAGAACUCUCAAAAAUCAUCAAGAGAGGCUUUGCCAUGAUAUCAGCAGCUCAAGGACUAUUUUCUAAUUAAGUCCAUCAGGCUCCAUAGACUCAGAGACCCAGCAGGAACAGCACAUCCUAUGCAAGUUCAGGAACAACUGGGAGUUGAUCAUUCUCAUAUCCACAGUGCUCCAGCUCAGGGCCCUGGGACCCCUUAACCUCUCAUUUGUAUUGAAGAUGGAAGAGAAGAAAGCAAGAGAAGAAAGAAUACCUCUCCUUUGUCCAUGUCCCUGUUUCUGAGUCUGGCCAACUUCAAUUAAGCUUUGGCUGAACAAAUUCUCUCCCUACAGUGGCAAGCAGCAUCUCUGUAUUCCUCCAGUGUCAUCCAACCUUACUCCCACUGGGAAAAUGCCAUCUUUCAUGGCUGAAGCUUCCAAAGGAGAUCCUUCCUUAGUCAAGCUGACCUUCUGAUUCAUCUUCUUGACUUGUGGCACUCUGGAACUGUCUGCUCCUGGGAGGUGGUGCAUGAAAAAUGGCCAGCACUGAUGGACCCCAGCACCUUCAAAAGUGUUUUCCCAGAGGACCUUACUCAGUAGUUCCCUGAUCAGCCUGGUCUGAUGUCUGCUCUUCUCAUGCCCAGGGCUGAAGUUUUGCCGGCACUUUUCCUCCCCUCAACAAAGAUUCUUAAAUGUAUUUGACACACAGCAUCUUGCAAUGCUGCAUGGAGCACCGACCAGCUUGAUGGAGAGGCACCAGUGCUUGGAGCCAUGAGGUAACACUGGAAGCAGCUUAGUGUAAGGAAAUAAAAUCUAAGCUUAGAGGAAAAGAAAACAAGAUGCAAUCAUCAGAAUGCAAAGAACAAGGGGGCAAUCAAAAUUCAGAUUUCACUACUUGAGCCUCAAACAACCCAGGAAGCCACAGGACUGUUGCAGUUCUGUACCCUGCCACGAAACACCUCGGUGCAGGUUUACAAAGAUUUAUGUAAACAGCUCUGUCACGUCACCACUUGCACUGAGGAGCUGAUAAAACACCUGUACCUGAUCCCCCUCUGGGCAGGAAGAACAGAUGGGUCCCUCUGAUGCUCAGUUCCAGGUGGUUACCUAAGGACAGCAGCAGCACAGGCAAGACAUUCCAAUAUUGUCCUCCAUCUUCCACGUCCUCCAAGACUUCUGGUGGAGGUACAGCCAGCAGCCACUAUAAAUAACAAGAAUUUGUCAAGAGUCUUGUUGCUACUCUAGAAUGAAAUUGUAAGUGCUUGAAAGUACUGCACCAGGUACAUGCAGAUUUGUAUCUUUUGAAUUUUUACAGCAUGUGCUCUGGAAAAACAGGACUGAAAAAGGCCCCCUCAGUUCUCACACAGAGUCCUGAUAACUCUGUCUUAUGGGUCCCUUCAUAAACAUUUCAAGCUCCACCUUAAACUGAGUUAAUUUUCUCAGACUUUUCAUUUACAUGAGUGAAGAGUGACCAAACUACAAAAAUGUGAAUGUUUAUUUUUUAUUAUAGGGAAAGCACAGAGAGAAGUGAAUGAAAAUGAAUAUUUUAAAACCAGACAACAUUAUUAAAGUAAUUCUGGCAGCACCUUUUUAACUUCUUUUGAACAAUAACCCAGCCCAUUAGCAGACCUCCCACAAGAUCAUGCCAGUGACCUACUGCAGGUCUGAUCUGGCCUUCAGGUUGCAGGUAAACUCUUCUUGGCUUCACCACUGGCUAGGGUACAUGCUGCUAGAAGGAGUCCUUCCACUAAUUCCACCAAAUUGGACAUCCAUGCAGUUCUGAGAAACGCUGAAAAACAGCAGAGUACAUGUGUGGACUACAGCAGUCACCAGGGGUUCAUUAAGCUUGAUGCUUAGAAAGCCAUGAGUAAGAAGCAUUGUGCAUGCACCCCAUCUGCAAUUCCAGUGCUCUGUAAUUCCUAAAAAAUCAAAUGUCAUAUCUGGGGAUAUACUGAAGUGACUACCUUCCAUUUUUCAGCCAGUUAGCAGGAAUUUCAAAAGCAACUUGGAGGCAGGUAGGGAUUCAUAUCCCCAGGGCACUGCUGGGAAUGGAGUUUCAGUGCGCACAAAGUCUCCUUGACUUCUGCUCUGGUAACUGAAGGACACAUGUCAGAGCCAUCAGCAGAAGGGCAAAUACUGAUGGAGAAGCCAAAGUCUCAGAUUUUCCAGGGAGACCUUCCAAGAGGAGCUCAUUACUCAUGGCAGUGGAUGGUGUUUUAAGUGAUUUUAAGUGAUUUUAAGCUGGCUGAAGACACCAGUGGGAGAGGAAGGUGUCAGAGAUGUGCUACGAAGGAUAGAGAGAUGGUAGGCAAAGGCAGGGUGGGGAAAAAAGCACUUUAAUGCAACAGUGGGUGUAAAUGGUCUUAAAAAGUCCUAACAAGGGCAUAUUUUUAAUAUCUCAAUUUCACUUUUUUUUUGGUUAGGCAAACAAGUCUAACCCUGCACCACACCACCACUACUCACCACGUCAAGUACACACUUCUGUGCACAAAGGAAAAAGGAUAUCUGAUUCCUAUUGCCUGGGAAACACUGUCAGCAUCGUGCACAGUUCAGCCAAGUUUGUGGCAGACCUUGCAGCCCAGCAGAAUGCCAAAAUACGUGACCUAAUGGGCUUUGCACUGCAGAUGAUCUCACCCUUUAUUUGGUGAUGAAUACUUGCCAUAAAGUAUUUGCCGAGACAAAGAGAGUAAAGCAAGAGUGGUAUUCAUGCUGUUUGCCAAGAAAAAUACCAGGAUAUUUGUUUAUGUAAUUUGCCAAAAAUACCAGGUACCACAAUAAACAGGCAUUAAGUUAAAUUUGUCAAUUUCUAACACCACCUACCCAGCUGACUGCAGCUGAAACCAUCAUUAGGUCCUUUAUUUUAAAUAAUUCAGGGAUUACAGGGCUUUGGCUUUUGAGUCAAAUUCUCAUUGCACACAUGUAUAUUUUUCAUUGCACCCACACACUUUGCUCUUGCAGCAUACAACACAAAAAACCAUUUCAAAGAGAGCAGAACCAAAGUCUCCUCUAAUCUGAGUUAGCAAGAAAGGAAUACCACAACCUGAAGUGAGUGUGUUCAUCAGCACAUGCAAUCCAAAGUGAUGUAAGAGCAGUAGAAGGUUACUUUCACCCUUCCACCCUUCUCUGUUUCCUUUGGCAUCACCCAGACCUGUCAGCUGAAUUAGAAGAGCCUUGUAACACAGACAUAUUUCAACUUUGUUGAUUUAACUUUUUUUCCCCCCAAAGUGAGAAGAAGCAUGAUUUUAAAACAAAAAAAACAACAAACCAAACAAACAAAAAACCCAAAAAAACCAAAACAAACAAAAAAAACCCACAAACAAAAAAAAAACCCAAACAAACAAAAAACAAACAAACAAAAAAACCCCUUUGACUUGAAAAGCAAUAGUUCAGGAAAAUUUGUACAAUCUAAUGCAGGUUUAAAUAUUUUUCUCCUUUUAAUCUUUUUAUUUAAGAAAAGUCUUAAAGGAGUACCUAUCAAGACAAUUUCUGAGCAGCCUUGUACCUAGGCUGAGAUUUUGUGGCUGGACAUUGCCUCCAAAGACCAUCAAGAUGAAAUGCUACCCUACUUUUAGGAAAAAUGUUUUAGCAUCCCAGCCCAGACUGUGGAAUUGAAAAUUACAAGGAGCAGGAGGAAUGGGUAGUGUUAAAAAUCGUAAGACCAAUGCAUUUCAAAUCAAGUUUGGUAAAAUAUGAAACAGUGAAGGUGAAAUACCAUUUGAGAUAGAGAAGGAGAAGGAAAUGAGAGAAAACCUCAAUAAGCAAUGAAAUAAUCACAUCUGACACACAGCUGUAUGCUGUUGAGGGUGAAAUGGUUCAAAGGAUCAUAGUUGGGCAGUCAUGAUCUAAGGUUCACUUCUGCUAAAGUCAGUGAAGACAUUGCUGCUGACUUUACCAAGAUAAGCAUUAGACAGCUCACAGUUUGAAGGCCAAGUGCCAGACAUCUUUAAACUGAUAACCUCGGAAAAAGAUCCCUUGUCCAUUUAAAUCAUCUUGAAUUCAAGGACUUUGGAUUAAUUUUGCCAGCCUGCUCCAGCUGAGAUGCAGUCAUCAUUGGAUAAAAUGACCAUGGGAAAGGGUGUUGUAGGGAAAGAAAUGAAUGAUGGAACACAGUUUUAUUUGUACUUAGUUGAAUAUUUCUUACUGGUGCUGAGUGUUAUUUUCUCAUACUGCAAAUACUGUUAUGAACAAUGAGGAAAAAGUGCACUUGAUCUGGUUAUAAAGGCUGCUGAAUUUCAUAUCAAAAAGAGCUUCAAGAGAAGCUCUGGACUCCAGAUGAGCACUGUAUGUGUGUGAGAAAGAAUCCAUUGUGUCCACUGAAGAUCUAAUCCUGAAUUCAAUAAGUUUCUCUUGGCAGCGGUGUACCUUAAACACAGCACAUAGCUUUGCCAUCAGGCUGUCCUUUCCAUCAUGAACAACUCAGGCUUCCCUUGAACAAAAUUUUUGACCUUCAAGUCCUAGAAUCCAUUCCUCUCCUGGUUUCUUGUCAUGCAUUUCCCAACAUUCAUAAGCUAUAAAUAGAGAUAGAUGGAGAGGAAAAUAAAGACACUCAUUCCCUUGAAACCUUUUUGGCCAGAAGAAUUUUGCUGCAGGAAGCAAUGGAAGAAUGAUAACUAUUUUGCUUUUAAAAACAUCUGAGUUGCUCUACCUAAGCAAGGCCAGCUGAUGUGUAAGGCAGUCAGCUAUUUUAGUACUGCCAUGGAGUUGGCCAAGGAGUUGCUGAAAUACUAAUUCCUUUUGACAGGAGCCCUGUAAGUUAACUCCAGACAAUUACCUCUGGAACUUCCCAAAAGACAGACUUCAGCCAUGGCAAAUUUUAUAUACAUCCAGGAAGGCACAGAGAAGGUGACUGUUUAUUGUAUAAUGUUGCCAGUUUCAGGGAUGCCCAGUGGUUACUGGAGACAGGCCAUUUUCAGACUCAGAUACUUGCUGUCAGGAGGAGACUUGUGUUGAAAAUGUGCUGUGGGGGAUUGUUCCAAAGUCUUGAUGCUUGCCCUGUAAAACGUCUGUGAUCUCUGGCUAUGCUGCAAAUAGUUCUGAUAGUGCAGGUUUCUAUCCUCCACCCAAUUUCACUGGAAAAAAACAGAAUUUUUCCCUGCAUAUAUGGCUGGAGAUGGGUUGACUGUGUUUCAGUUAGCAAAGCUGUUACAUGAAAGAUAAAUUGUAAUUGGCAAGAAACUUAAAUUAUAUGGGAUUUACAGGUAAUAUAAAAUAUAUUAGUCUCAAUUCUAAUGCAAACCUCUUCUUUGAAAGCAGGAGUUAAACAAACAUGCAGAUCAACUGCUAGAUCUAUAUUACUGUUGAUGGUUUUCAGCUUAACAAUUUUGUCCUUAUGUAACGACUUAAAUGCAGGAGGUGAAAUACAAGGCUUUUGUUCCUCAAAAAAAGGACCUGCAUGAUGUUUGGUCAUCAUAGUUUCCUACCUUUGGAAAAGAAAAGAAUAAUCUGUCAGCUUCUGGACUGGGUCAUCAGCCAGUUGGACUAGCGCAGAUCCUUCAAAGCAAAUACUGUUUAUUUGUUUUGGAAAACAAAUUAAAAUUGUACUUUCACCAAAAUAAAUAAUAAACUCUACAAUGUAUUAAUAGAUCCCACGGCCAUUUCAGACAGGUCAAAAAGCACCUUUUGGUUGGUGUGCUUCAGCAGCACGAGGGCUGCUGCACACAGAAGUUACUGGGGCAAAACCUACAGGGAUGCACCUCACACUCUACCUUAGACCUGGAUACUUCCCAAGAUUUAGUGUGAGGGUUCCCUCGCUCUGUGUACAGCCACCACCACCUGUUUGCAGUGCCCUUUGCCACUGCUAUGUGGACAGACAAGUUAAAAGGCUGAACCAAGCCCUCAGCUUCCAGGGCUGACAGGGAUACCUUGAUGCUGCUCAGAGUAUAUUGCUUCUGCCCACAGGCAAGGUUGGAAAUUACUGCACCAACACCUUUGUUUUCAGAGCCAUGGGAACACCUUAGGAAAACCCUAGAUGGUGGAAGAAAACACAGGAAUAAGGCAAAACAGGUGAGAAUGUUGAAACAGUCCAAAACAUUAAAUUUUUUCUACUAUACUUUGAAAUAUGAGAGUUAAAAGUCAUCAUCCAGGGCUGUGUGUGCAGAGCACAGGGAUGCAGAAUUCACAAGGAGAAACACUGUAAGGAAUCAGGAACCAAGAGUCUUCUUUCCCUCGAGGCAUCAGGGUACUGGGACUACCAGAACUGCAGAGAGAAGAAUGGAGAUUGCUCCCCCAAAAUUGAAAACAGCAGCUCAGUGGUGCUCUCCACCACCCCAGGCUUAGCAUUUCUCCUCACAGGCCUUACACAGUUAAUGUGUAAGACCUGUUGUGCCUCUCAGCAAAAUCUGCUACACCUUGGCAUUCGUAACUUCAGCUCCUCAGGAAUGCUGUGAGUGCCCCAGUGUGGAAGUGAGCUUUGGAAGACAAGGGCUGGUCACUGCAGGUGGAGUACUGCCUCAUGGAUAACACUUCCCACGCUCUGGGAAGUGUAACACUGGUCCACACUGCCCUAAUUAUGGAUUACAAGUGUUGAUGUGCUGAUGUAACACCUUCCACGCUGGGUAAUUGACUCACUCUUGGGCCUCUUUCGUCAGGAUCUUGACCACAGCACACAAACUCUAUAUGCUCCUACUCUACACAGUGAUCUUCGGGUUUACAUCUGUCUCAGUCGACAUCAAGAUGACCCCUCCCUUCUUAAACAAUAUGUGUAAUUCCCUUUGUGCCUUUCCCCUGUCUUUUGCAGGGUGCACUCUUGCCUGCCACCCAACAGUUCUACCUUGUUAGAGCUACCAAGAUUGAGUGUCUCGCAGGCAAAGUAAUUUCAUUCUUUUCAAAACAAUUACAACAUUGUUACUUUGUAAUGUGAAUGUCAAAGGAGAUAAGGGAAAAUAACCAUGGGAAGGCGGAAAGAACAAUUUAAUUCAGGAGGCAAUUAAAUAUCUACUAGUCAUAAUGUGGACAAAGGGCUUGCCGUGACUCAACAAGUGAUAGCUCAUCAGCUCAAACACAUUUAACUAGGAAGGUGCACAUAAAAAAUAGAGGAGGUUAGUUUAAUCUAUUCUUUCGGUUAGAGACUAUUUUGGAUAAUGGCAGUGAGCAGAGAGAAAGGGUAAAGGGAGAACAACUGUAUAUAUUGAUGGAAGUAACGUAGCUUUAUUACAAACAGAGAAAAUAUAAAGAAUGCACAUCCCUUACAAAGAGGAACACUUUCUAAAGAAGUCUUAAGGCCCAUGGCUUUGGUCCAUGACAGUGGGAAUUGUGAAUGCCAUUUCCCACUUGAAACGCUUCUUCUCUCUCCAAACCCUGUGAGCAUUAUGACAUUCCCAAAUAAAUGUAGCCAGGAAUUACCAUGGCAAGCACACCCACAGAGGCUUGUAAACACAUGCUGGCAAAGCCCUGACUAGAGUACUUACAAGACAGAAUGCAACCACUCAAAGAAGAUUUCAUGGCUGAGGAAAUAAAGGCUUUAGAAUGUGCCCAAACAUUAUGUACAGAAGAGGCUGUAAUGGCUCUGCAGAACUGUUCCUCCGCUUGCCCAAACUGUUUCUGGAAGCAGAGGCACAUGCAAACCCAGAACCCAGCACCCCUUCCCACCCGAUGGUGAGCCAAGGACACGCAGUCUCGCAGACAGUAUGCUCUGUGCUGGAUCUCCAGGCCAAGAUUAUCACAGCAGCUUUGGAAAUUUGCACACCCAAGGGGAAUGAAACACGAAAUGUGUCCGGAAUCUUUCCAAGCAUCCUCUGUUGAGUGCUCAGGCCAAAGCUUUAAAUGAGCAUAGAUGGAUCUAGAGCCUUCAAUGCACUGCCAGUGACUGAACACAGAGAACUGGAAACAGAAUCUGCAUUUUCUGAUCUUGCUACUUACAAUACACCUUAAAUGUUUUUUGGGGGGACAAUGUUUUUGCUAGGGGAAUGCCACCAUGGUUGGUAGUGGUCAUUCAGACUUUCUCACAGCUGAUCUGUAAUUAAUUUGGCAAAGAGUUCUGGCAGAUGGCAGAACACAUCAAGCUCUCCAGACAGCAGCAGCAUUCAGGCCACUUCAGAGGUGAUCUUGGAGUGCCUGAUCCCCACUCUUUGUGCUGAACUGUCCUGCAUUUAUUGGCUGUGUGAAAACAUCUGCACACCCACCUGCCAGUCACAAUAAUGCAAGGCAAAGUAACCCCAAGCGAGUGAAGAAGAGGUUUUUACUCUUUCAGAAUCAUUUAGGUUGGAAAAAGACCUUUAGGAUCAUCAGGUCAACCUUCACAGACUUGGUAAACAUUACAAGACAAAUGCAGCAAAAGGUAGGGUGCUCCAAAGUAGAUCACAAAGAGCAGUACAGAGUGACCCAUGGCUUUUCACUCUCCAUAUCCAGGCCAGCCUUGUGCUCAGCUAAUGCUAAACACAUGACUCCAAGGAAGACCUCUACCAAGUUUUACAGCUUUUCCUAUCUCACAAGUCACAGCCCUGAAAACCAUCAGGUAAUACCCUUAAGUGGGGCACCAAGGACCGAAGAAUAAAAAAAUUUCUCUGCUGGUGUUCCUCCUGGUUGCUGAAGCAGAUUAGCACUGCACCCAUGCCUGUUUCAACACUUCCUGUAUUGCUUUUUUUUUUCCAAGAGUGUUUGUGUUUCCAUAACACCAAGCACAAGCCAGAUAAACAAAGUGGCUUUCCCCACUUGCUUAAGAUGCUCUGCUCUUAGAAAAUGAUGAGCUCAGUAGCAUAAGUUCUUGCAAAUAAAAAAAAAAAUCAAUGCCCUCUCCCUAUUAUUAGCACUUAUGUGAUAGGCUUAAACAGGUACUUUUAGCACCAGCUUAACAUUGGAAGGGGAAAAGGAUGUGACUGUAAGUAAGACUAAACCACUAAUUUUUUUCAGACUGAAGCUUUUUGAGGCUCUUCAACAAGAGAACAAUGUUUAUUUUAAUGUGGCUGACAUCAGAAAAUAACAAAACCUCUUUUAUGACCAGAUUAUAAAACUCUUCUCUUAAACCUAAACAGCAAAACAAGUCAUCAUUAGCACAUGAGCACAACCUGAUAGAUAAGAAUUUCUCCCCACCAUCCAAGCUUUCAAAACCCUGUUUCACCACAGAAAAUUUCAUACUGUAGUAUGAUGGGUCUUAAAGAAAAAUUUUGUCUUGGAGGGGGAAAAAAAUGGGUGCUUUUUACACACAGCAGAUAUUUGCUGAAACUUUUCAUUAAACUCAAAGUCUGUUUUCAGAAUGAGAUGACAGCUUCCAAGAAAAUUUUCUGUCCAUACCUAAGUAAAUGAUUGAAAGCAACAGAGGAAAUUGCUUUAUUCCAAAACCUAUUCAUUUAGUGUUUGACCAUUUCCCCAUGAUGAAUUAAACAAGUUUUUCAUAAACAAUAAUACUUCUAAUUAAAAUAAAGGGAAAAAUAAUUUUCACCCCUGAAAAAUAUUUUUGUAAAAAAUAGCUUUAUUUGUUUUCUCUGCUUCCUAGACUUAAAACCAAUAUAGUGUUCUGGGAAAAAUAUGUUUCCUUGUAGUAAAACCCAUUUUCAGCUGGAAGAAAGCCCUCAGACAAAGCAGCUGUGCUUAACACUAGUAAUUAAUGCAUCUAAAAUACCCUUUCAUGUGGGCUCCUGAAAGCAUCCUACAAAUAAUGAAGUGCCCAGAGGCAAGAGAAGGACUUCUGUUUUGUAAGAGAGGACACACAGACAAAACAAGUGCCCACCUUUCAGAAGCAAAUGUAAACACUGCUGCUGCAACACAGCCAUGAGUCCAAGGGCCUCUCCAGCCCAGGAGCCUUUUGUUUUCCUGGUAGAGAAGAUGCUAUGGUCAUGGAAGGUGAGUUUUCUAGGGUGAAGCCAAUCCUUCAUGCUCCAGAUGUGCUGGUCCCUGUAAUUUUCCCAAAAAAAACCUGUCAGCACCUUUCCCUGGGGGACAGGGUCUGCCAAGAGAAUAUUGGAGAAUGCACUCAUAUGGCCACAAACUAAAAGAGAAAUUGUUGCACUCAACAUGAGGAGUAAUUUCUUUCCAUUGAGGGUGGCAGAGCACUGGGACAGUUUGCUGUGGAGGGUGUGGAGUCUCCCUCCCUCUCUGGAGAAAUUCCAACCCCACCUGCUCCAGGUGACCCUGCUCUGGGAGGGGGUUGGACUGGGUGAUGUACAGAGUUCCCUUCCAGCCCCAGCCAUUCUGUGAUUCUCUAAAAACACUCUCCCACCCUCUGACAAAACUCUGUGAGGCCUGCCUGAGUCACAACUGGUAUCUAACUGCUUUCCAUUUCUAGCACUUCUACUGCAGGCAAUGAGUUACACAGCUUAAUUAUACAUUGUGCAACUUAAAUGGCUUUUCUUUGUUUGCUUGUUUGUUUGUUUGCUUGCUUGCUCAGGGUCCAUUACUUACCAGUUCCAGCUGAAACUGCUGUAGUGUGCACAAAUCAUUCCACAUGCACCAGGGUCGAGUUGAUUUUACAGAAUUUGUGAUGGGCACUCCUCUCCUGCUAGUGUUGCACCAGCAGUGACCUACCGAGUCAGUCACUCUCUGUGCCAAAGCCAACCCAUAACUUUUAUCAGUUUUCUUGUUCUUUCUUUUCAGAACAAACAAGAUCUAGUAGGUUCACUGAUCUGAUGCCCUUGGAUGAGCAGUAAGAAGCCCACACUAGGGGUAGUUAAAUUCUGUGUUGCCUGACAUGACUACUUUACUGCAUACCUAGAAGCUAGAAUGCAAUUGACCAGGAAUAUAAUUUUCAACACCCUUUUUUUUUUUUUCUUCUGGCAUUAGUGAAGUGCUCAGACCCCACUCUCCUUCACAUCAUUUCACCCUCUGUAAAAAAAAUAAAAUUAAAAAUCAGCACUGUUUAAAUGUAUCACAAGCACAUUCUCAUUAGUAACUUGAAAUGCCUGGUCACAUUCUUGUAGGUCAUGCUGCAAAUGUAUCCCCAGGGUCUUACCCAGCUUGACCUUCUUAAUCAUUGCUUUUCCUUGCAGCAUUGAUGCUCUGAUUUCAUAGACAUCCAUACAGACCAGGUACAGACACAGGAAUGCAGCACGUCACCUCUCGGGUCAGCAACAAUAAGGCUGCACCACUAUUAGAACCAUAUCCCUGUUAAUUUCUGACAACAGUCUGGGUUCCCUCCUCUUGCUACAACAUGUAACAAGAUGCUGCAUAGCUUUCCCAGGAGUUACUUCACUUUGUCCUGACUGCUUGUGUUCCUGCUUCAGCUAGGUCUGAAGCUCACUAACCUUGUGCUCCAUUCUGUUUGCAUUUGAGGACAAGAACAACAUCACAGCAAUGCACAACUUGGAAACCAGGUUCCUGUGUCUGUACACAGUGGAUAUUCUCAGUAGCAAUGCCUGAGUUUGUUUCCUGAAAAUUCACUGCUUUCCCAAAGUAUUAGCACUAAUUUUUUACGGGAUUUUGGUAAACUAGCAUUUGGCAUCUGUAUCUUCCUACUUAAUAGACACCAGCCUUGAAACUUUGGGGGUUUUUUAACACCGUUUGUGUUCCAUCUUCUUCUAAACUCAGUUAUGAUCCAAUUCUGCCAAACUCACUCAAACAAAACUUCAGUCUGAUAUAAGCAGGAGAUUUUGAUAAAGAUAAGGGAAGGGAAAAAAAUCAUCAACACAUUUGAUUUCUAAGGAACCAUUCUUUUGGUAAGGCAGUUCUAAAGACCAGCCAGCUAUAGGACACCUGGAUUAUGCUUGGAGAGAUGGAUUCAGAAAAAUCCAACCUGAUCCUGAACUUUUUAAUCCAUAAUAUCCAGAAUAAAUAAAAAGCACAUGUGUACUUCUUGCAGGAGAAGAUACCCAAAUUAUUGGAGCAUUAGUUAUUUAAUUCCAGAUUCCAACAUGGCUUCAGUCCCAGCAGUUAAAGCCUCAGGCAGAAUGAGUGUGACUCCCAGAGAAGCAUCUGAAUGAUCAGACAGGAGGGUUUUCCUUAACAUUCACCUGCUACACUGAACUAAAGGAGACUAAAAAUACUUUGGGUAAUUGGACUGCAGCCAAAGAACACGCCCCAGCUGCCCAGAGAGAUGGGCCUCACUCCCAGCUUGAAAAUUUCAAGUAAAGCACUCAGCCUCUCUCUCUCUCCUGCUCUGCUGCUUUAGGCUUCCAGGAGCUAGAAAGCAAACACCAGAGAACAACUGCCUCCUUUGCAGGAAAAGAGCUCACUCUGGGAGAGUCAGAACCAGGCUUUGGCGCAUGAUGGGUGGCAGGCAAGUAAAAAGAGCAAAGUUUUCCCACAAAGAACAUUUGAACUGCAGAAGUCGCUCGUGUGAUGAAGCAGUCGCCAUGAAAUUGGACCCUCUCCAAUAUAAAACUGAUUUCUUCACCCUGGAUUUUUCUGACAUUUUGCUAUGACAAUGGAAAAAUGUGAGUUUGUAUUUUCAUUUUGCACUUGUUAAGUGCUUUAAAGGUAUUCUGAAAUUCCAUUGAAAGAAACUCAAAAAUACUUCCACGUAAUUCCUAAACACCCCAGGACCAUAAAUGGGUAUUAUUUUUAGAAAACAGAAUGUAUGCCAAAAAGCUUUAGAUCAAAGUAUCUUCCAGUAGUUUUAUUCCAAAUUUGGCCAUGAAAAACUCCAACUUAAAAACCAAACCCAUGUAAUUUAGCCUUGACAUUCAACUGUCUGAUAACGGUCUUCUUUUAAGGGGGAGGAGAAAAUUUGUCCAAACUGAAGGUGACUCUGAUUGAAAUGACUACCACUAAAAAAAAAAAAUAUCUAAUUUAUUUUGGGAAAAUGUGCCAGAGUACUUGUUAAAAUUUCAGCCAAAGACAACAAAGUAGACACACAUUUAUUUCAUUUAGAUGCAUGUUUCUUCCUUUUUUGCCCUACAGUUCUUUUCAUAAGAACUACAUGACACAGGCGGUAUCAGCUUCCAGGGUCAGUAAGGGCUGCCUCAACCGCUCUGACAACAUGCUUCAAUGUUGAAGAAACAUUUUUUCAUAGAAUCAAAGAAUGACAGAAUAGUUUGGGAUGGAAGGGACCUUUGAAAGCCAUCUAGUCCAACUCACAUGCGAUAAGCUGGGACAUUUUUGACUAGAUCAGCACCUCAUCCAACCUGAUCUUGAAGAUUCCAGGGGCAUCUGCCACCUCUCUGGACAACCCACUUCAGUGUUUCACCACCCUCAUCAUAAUUUUUUCCCUAAUAUUAUCUGAUUUGACCUUUCUUCAGCUUAAAACCAUUACUCCUUGUCCUAUCAUUACAGCCCUGCUAAAAUAUCUGUUCCCACCUUUCUUUUAAGCCCCCUUUCAGUACUGGAAGGCUGAUGUGAAGAGCCCUUGUCCCUAGUUCUCUCAGACUGUCUCCACAGAAAGGUGUUCCAGCCCUUUAAUCACUUUUGUGACUCAUUCCAACAGACAUUCCAUGUCUUUCCUGCACUGGGGACCCCGCAGGUGCAGGUGGGUUCUCACCUGAGCAGGGCAGAGGGGCAGGAUCCCUCCUCCCUUGCUGUCCACCUUGUGGGAUGAGCUCAGGACAGGUUUGGCUUUCUGGGCUGCCAGAGAACACGGCUGGGUAAUGUCCAGCCUCUCAGCCACCAGCAAUUAUCCACACCAGGGGUUGUGCAACCCAGCUGCAGGUUGCUGUGCAUGAACUAUUUAUCACACUAGAUUGCAGCAGUUUUUAUUUGUGAUGCCAUUUUGAUCACCACAUUCCACUUCCCGACUGUAGAUAAAGCCCACUGGCAGAUCAGUGAUCUUGCCUGAGAAUAUUAAUGUAUUUCUGUCAGCCUUCAUGUUACUAUCUAUUCCUUGCUGAACAAUUUCACACAUUUCACAAAAGGCUUUUGAUUGCUUAACAGAGAAGUUUUAUCAAGACAAAUGCAAAUUACUAUUUACAACACAUUUUUGAUUCUCAUCUUGGCAUCAAAUAGUGUUUCUCUGUUGCUACUCAUUUAAGACUUCAUUUAGACCUCAGAAAUGAGGAUUCACCUUAUAAAUUAAGAGUAUCCACUCUGAGUAAAUCUUGCAUUCCCUGUCUAGACUGUUGGAAGAUGUUAGAUUUCAGCAUUCCCCUUAUGCUGAGCAGAUUGAGAUUCCUACAGAAGACAGAUGUUUGGAAUUCUUGGACAACUGUAUCUUGCCUAACAAUACACCGAAGAAUCACAUUUCAGAUGAUGGUACUGUUUGUGUGACAUCUCCACUUUUUUGCAAUAACAUGAAACGGAGACAAAACAGAAGAGGAAAGCAAAUAGCAUUUAUUGUAUAAAGAAACUUCAGUUCUGUUCCUGAAGCAAAUUUUAAGGUAUUCCUUUUUACAGAAGCUGGGUGUAUUUAGUAGAAAUUUAAUCAGAACAGCAAUUGGUUUAACCAGGAAUAUGCCCUUCUAGCCCAAGAAUUGAGCUGAUAAAGCAAUUUCUGAAUGACUUUGUUUAUAUAUGCACAAGGCAGCUUCUUCUAAUUUUACCAGGUUAAUGACAAAAUUAGAUGCAGCCAAGUAGUUCAUGUGUGCAGCUGUGCUGAAUCUGACAAGCUUUACCAGAACAGUUAUAAGAAAUUGUUAACAAAAUUUUCACACAGAGAAGUUUACCAGAGAUAGAAAACUAUCAGCAUGAAAGCUGGGAAUUGUUUAUUUAAGAAAUCCUGGACACUUGGACACAAUGUCUCCUAUGGAAUUCAGGUUAAACCCUGAGCAACUGGUUAUCUUUUUCUGUGUCAUAAAAUGUAGUUCUCAGAACAUUUGCAUGUAGCUUUUUGGAGCACCCAUCCUUCAGCAACACAUGAUACCUUUAAACACAAAGUUUUGUUUUCAUGGUGCUUAAAACAGGAUUUCUGUAAACGUACCUUGUGUUCUGUCUCACAACAAUACACAUUUUUUCCGUGUUGUGUAUUAUUUUUAAGGUGUUCAGACAAGAAAACACUUUAAAAAAUUUUAAUAUUGUUGACUUUAUCUGAAAAUGAAUACAAACCACUAUAUUUUCCUCUCUAAAUGUAAACUUGCUAAAGAUGUAGUCUAAGCAUAUUUUCACAUUGACUUGGGCUAGGAAUAGCCAGUUUUCAGGCACAAUUUCACACAUGUGUAACACAGUUCCAUGCCACAAUCCCCUUUUGUAUGAUACAUGUGAUCUAGAAUACACAAUUGUUCAGAAAAAAAACAUCCAAAACCUUAAAAAGCCAUGGACAGGCAGCAUGUGCUGGUGUUGCUUGAUAACUAGCUGAUUGUUAACUAGUCAACUGGCAGCUUCAAGUUAAUCCAUGACAUCAAGCUACAAAAAAAAUGAGACACCAAGUGAAUAAUCCAAGCAUUUGUAACUGAACACUAAGUUUCAGUGUAAUGUGUAGGGAAUAUGACUGCUAGUUUGUCCAAAGAGUUUGGGGUAUUUUGUUUUAGUUCUUCUUAAGUGUUAAAGAAAAUAGUAAUUUUAGCUUUCAAGGUACAGCACAUUUGCAAUGAAGUUGGAUUUCAAACUGAGUUCAAUGCUUUUGGUCAUCACCAUGGAAAUGUAACUACUCAGGCACAAGAAAUUUCUUUGGUACUUUUAUUUUUCUUUUCUCUAAGCACAGCAUUGGUGACAGCUUUUCUAAAUUUAGAGAUGUACCUGGAACUAGAACUUUGUCUUUUCAAAUCAGAUCUCCCUCCACAUUCUCUUUGGCAUCCUGCACAAAGAUUAACCUAACACCUCUUUGCUGAACAAUGCUCUUCAAAGCAGUACUCUGAAGAAAAUAGUCUAAUUUUGUAAAAGUAGUUUAUUCUAAAAAUUGGCACAUCAAUGAAAAGAUUCCCCUGAAAAGAU